rnacentral:rRNA from 1 species
UACGUAGGGUGCAAGCGUUGUCCGGAAUUAUUGGGCGUAAAGAGCUCGUAGGCGGUUUGUCGCGUCUGCUGUGAAAACCCGAGGCUCAACCUCGGGCCUGCAGUGGGUACGGGCAGACUAGAGUGCGGUAGGGGAGACUGGAAUUCCUGGUGUAGCGGUGAAAUGCGCAGAUAUCAGGAGGAACACCGAUGGCGAAGGCAGGUCUCUGGGCUGACACUGACGCUCAUGCACGAAAGCGUGGGGAGCAAACAGG